GUGGAUAAGAAGGUCGUGUCAUUUACGAUACACCAGAUUGGCAAGGAAAACGAAAGCUGUCAUAAUAAUGGAUUCGAAUCCCUGUUAUCAGCAUGGAUCAUGGUUCUGAUAAGAUGGGGUAUUGUUUGUAUUUACUGAAGACUGUUUAGAGUUAGGUUAAUUUAUGACAUGUAAGUGAAGAUAACCAGUUACAUGUAGUAGAGCAUUAAAUGUAAACAGGAAGUUGAUUUAUUAUGUUUAUAUGCAACAGACACUUCAUCUAAUAAUCUUUAAUGGAGCAAAUUUAUUCAAAGAAUCUGCAUGUUAUUAAUGACUUUCAAGAGUCGUAGUGGCUAUGGAAUAUCGUAAGACGUGUUUUGUUUUUAAAAUUGUGCUUCUCACAAGCUCACAGGCUUCAACACUGUCGCAUUCGGGAUAAUAUUUAUGAUUUUAAAACACAACUAAUGACACAUAGGCGGUUCGUUUUUAGCGUGCAGGUACUCCUCAUAACGACACAUCCGAGGUCGUAACUUUUU